ensembl:lncRNA
AAGAACUGAGAGGGAGAGAAUCUUAGAGUGAAUAGUCAACCAGGCAGCUCUAAGGAAAAUAAGAAGGAGCUUAAUUUACUUUGUGGCAAAAUUAGUUUUCAGUCAUCAGAAAUAGAACUCCAAAACUGAGUUCUCCUAGUGAAGAAUAAAGACAUUGCUAUCUGUACAUAGUUAGGUCUUAUUAGUGGUUUGUUUAGAAAAUACUGCAUAUAUUUUGUCUGUACUGUAGAAGUAAUGUUACCUGUCUCAUAAGAAUAUUAUGUAAAAAAUGAAUAUAGAAACUUACUACAGUAUCCUGCAGUUGUCUAGGCACUUAUCAACAAUCUUAGUAGCAGACUGAGGGGAAAAAAUGAUGAAAUGCCCUGAGCAUGAUAUUUACAAAUCACUUGGACCACACCCACUCAAGGUUUUAGGAAAUCUUACUAAUGUCAUUAAAAACUAAUGAAUGCAAUUUAAGAGUCCUGAGAACAAGAAAGCAGUCUACUGGUCACAACUCUGAAAAAAUAAAAGCAUUUCAAUGUAUCCAGGGAUAGCAGGCAAUGUUCCUAAGCAAUACAUACUUUGGUUAGUUAGAGCCAAGUGCACUAACUAACCAGUUAUGUGAUAUGAGAUGUGAUGGGAGCCGGCAUUGAUUCUCAUUAUUAUUUGGAAAAGAGAUCUCUACCCAAUUCUCACACUUCUCCCUCUUUCCAACCACAGAACUGAGUGCAUAUAGUAUUAAAAUAAAGGGUACUAGAUGGAUACUUACAUGUGGCCAGAAAGCUUCCUUCUUAAACCCAGAAAGCGAGCAUGUCCUUUGAAUGAUCCAGCUCAAUCGCCUCAAAAAAUCCCUAUGAAACUGGAAGAGAAAUAGGAGCAGUAUCUACAACAGUUCUUCUCAAGAUGGGGCCUCCUAAAGAAUUAUUGAGACUGUUAUCACAGGCAGAUCAGUAAGGUUCCUCAUUUUAACAAGAAGUCCUCCUCCUUGAAAAGGCAGAAAACCAAAGAGUUUUAUAGGGAAUAAAAUUUCUGUGUUCCUAAGGCUGAGUCACACAUGACUGAACUUUUCAGGUUUAUGUGAAAGCCAAGUUAGAAUUAAAACUUUUUAUUUAUGCUUCUGUUAUAUUUGGCAAGUGAAUCAGGAGAUAUGGGUCAGUGCUAGGAAAUUCUCAGUCUCAGACCUUAGCACCUUUAUUAGAACCUCUCAUGGCACUUUAAAAAAAAAUAAUUAAUUAAUUAUAUUUUAACUGACCAAAAAUAAUUGUAUAUCUUUAUGGAUUACAAUGUGAUGUUUUGAUAUAUGUAUAUGUUGUAGAAAGAUUAAAUCAAGCCAAUUAACAUACUCCUCGCCUACUUAUUUUUUUGUGUAAUGAGAUUGUUGAGAAUGUUUAAAUAUACUCUUCAAGCAAUUUUUAAGUAUACUUUAAAUUUCUUCUUUUUCUUGUAUUUCAGUUCUUAAAGUAGGUGUGGGAGAGUUGGCUAAUGCAUUUAUGGUCUUGACACUUCCCUCAAUUGUUUGAGACUAAAGUUUCAACAGUUUUAAUUCCAUAAAAAUAAUUUAGUCUCAUUUUUACCUUCAGUUUUUCUCUCUGCACUGAUCUUUCCUUUGGGUUAUACAUCCAUUAAGUCUGCCUUAUGCCAAAAUACCAGCACAAAGAGAAAUCUCAUUACCUUGCUUUUUCCAUUUGUGUUUCAUCUCCUCUGGUGAUCUCCCCCAGCCUGCUGUCAGAUUUACCUUCCUAAUACACCAUUCUGCCAUUCAGCUGUGCUGCUCAAAAGGUUUCCAGGCCUCCCCAUUACAUGAAGUUCAUGCUCUUUAGCCUGGUUCAAGGCUUUAAGACCUUAUCAGGACAGUCCACACUUCUCUCAUAUCGCACCCUGUGCUUUUGCCA